rnacentral:rRNA from 1 species
UGCCAGCAGCCGCGGUAAUACGUAGCGUGCAAGCGUCAAUCGGAAUUACUGGGCGUAAAGCGUGUGUAGGCGGUUCGGAAAGAAAGGUGUGAAAUCCCAGGGCUCAACAUUGGAACUGCGUUGGUGACUGGCAGGCUAGAGUAUGGCAGAGGGGGGUAGAAUUCCACGUGUAGCAGUGAAAUGCGUAGAGAUGUGGAGGAAUACCGAUGGCGAAGGCAGCCCCCUGGGCCAAUACUGACGCUCAUGCACGAAAGCGUGGGGAGCAAACAGGAUUAGAUA